rnacentral:misc_RNA from 1 species
ACAUCCUCAAAUCAAUUGGGAAUAUUAAAUUAAGGCAAAAUGAAGACACCACUUCUUGUUUCUAUGUCUCUUUCCAAAUCAGAAACGUGAUUGCUGACGCAGCCAACCCUUUUGCCCAUUGUACGCGUUCCANNNNNNNNNCUCCAAAAAUACACUGCAACUACUCCCAAAAGCUUUCUCCAAGUUGACAUGAGAAAUAUGCAGGCCAGGCCGAUUCUUCAAUUCCUUCAUCUGGGCCGCAAAUUGUUAGGACCCACUUCAAGCGGUGCGAAUAUUGCAUCCGCUUGCAGGAGGCAAGAGCCAAGAGGAUUGUUCAAUU